rnacentral:lncRNA from 1 species
CCUAUUGUGCCAAGCCAGUACUUGGCUUUGUCCUUAAGUGAGAAGGAGAAUAGGGUCAGUCUAAGUGCAUCAUCAGUAAAAUUUUGAAUCUUCACCGUGGAACAAAUUUCUAAGAACUCAUCUAGAUGCUUGUAAGGAUCUUCAUUGGUGUUCUCAUAAAAAGAUGGGAGUAUCUGGAUUAUGGUUGACCUGAUCUCAUAAUGGCCUGCAGGGAUAUCAGGUAAGUGGAUGCAAGUAGAUGGGUUAU